rnacentral:lncRNA from 1 species
AUCUGUAGGCUGCUUCUAGAUCAACGGUUUCCUUGGUUACUCCACAACCUCCACAAUCUCCACUUGCUUCAAAGCUGUGAAGAUUGCAAGUCCACUUUGUGUUUUUCAGCCACUCUGUGUCAAACGCAACUUCUGCCUUGGCUCUUCCCAUCAAGCCAGAGCAGUUUCUUGGCCUGCGCAACCUGCAGACUGACCUCUUGUGUGUAUCCGUGCUGGACUGAGGGUAUCAAGAGAAGAAGGCAUUUGCUUCAGAGGACAGUACUUUGAUGCUUUCCAGGGCCAAUGGCCAAAAUUUUCAAAGCACUUUUUUUUUUUUUUUUUUUCCCAUCAGUGAUUUAUACAUUUGUCAAUCUUUCCAUCUUCAUUUACAACUGCGAAUUUAGGUUUUAGGCGAACAAGAACCCUGAAACCAGCUGAAGCCAUAUCAGACAUGAAGCCAUAUUAGACAUAGUAAGGACAUGUGUCUGUGAGGAAGUAAUUCAGAGUGACUCUCUGGUGUCCUUUGGACAGCUUUCCUCUGGUCCUCUGCACUAGGCAUCCCCAAGGGAUAUUUCAAAGCUCUCGGCAUGAUCUGUCAUUCUCUCUUCCACUGGAGUCUCCAUUAGAAAAGCGUGACUAUUCCUUGCCCAUGUGGAAAAGAAGUCCUCCUUGAGUUGUUUCUAACCAAAACCUCUUUCUUGUGUUCUCUUGACAGAAACCACUUGGCUAGACAAACUCAAUCCUUGCAAAUGGAAGGAG